rnacentral:tRNA from 1 species
CAUUGCGAAGCUUAGAGCGUUAACCUUUUAAGUUAAAAUUAGAGAUCCGUAAUCUCCGUAAUGA